rnacentral:lncRNA from 1 species
GAUGCUCACACGCAAUGGCUUUGUUAAGAGAAUUCCUCAAAGAAGCACUCAGCACCUGCCAAUACGGUACAACCUCUAGCAACUCCCUUCAGCAGAGAGCUUCCAUUCCUUCCUUUGAAAAAUGUGGCUGUUUUAUUUCUGUUAUGCCCAGCAUUUUCGUAGGCACCCAACGAAAGCCAACAAAAGCAUCAGAAACGGCCCCACCCUAAAAAAGUUCCUAAGGCCAUUCAAGAGGAAUUUUCACUCGGUUAUUCAACAAAUACUGAGAAGCUACAAUGUAGCAGACAUAGAUCCAGGAUUUGGAGGCCAUGCGCGUGGUUGGGGCUAAACACAAUCCCCGCUUCACGGUGCUGACAGUCUAGAGGAGGGAAAGAGAGCCUCGAACCAUCGAUGCACACGGCAAUUUCAGGUGCCUGACCUGCUUGGCUGAUCCAAGACCCGUUGGAGGCUGUGACAUUUAAACAGAGCCCGAAUGCGUCCAGAGCAUUCUGGACAGAGAGAAAGAGCACUUGGAGGGUUCUGAGGCUCCGCGGCAAUUGGCUCAUUUAAGGAAUAAUAAGCAGCAAGUGUGGCUAAACAUGACCAAGGGGGCAAGUGGUCGGUUGGCCAGCGGGUACAGUGUGGAUUUUAUUUUGAAUGCAGGAAGCUUUCCACAGGCAAACGUGUUUCCCUUCAGCCAGAACCUACCUGUCCACCUGGGGGAGA